UAGAAAAUACUAGCGUAAUAGUUAAAAAAAAAAGUGAAAUAAAAGAUUAAAUAGAAAAAGUUUAAAUUGUCCUAUAUGACAUAGAACAACCAAAAGUUUUAAAUUCACGAUUUAAUAAUAAUUUAAUGCGAUUAAAAAUGUUUAUGUAGUUUUCUAAGAUGUUUAUUUAUGUAAAUGCUGUGUGUGUAUGCUGCGGGUGCUGAACGUUACUGCCCCUUUAAAUCCGUUGGAGUGACGUGAGUUACCAUGGAAACGAGGCUACUAGGAACAACAGAAAGUGACAAAGCUCCGUGUCUCUUAUGGUUUUCUUGACUUUUUCAGAAGUGACAAAAUAACCCCAUAAUAGAAAAUAAGCUCAAGAUUUCUGCAUUUUCGAAUGGAGCUGCAGUGCUGACAGAGAGAUGUUGUAAACUCAGAUUUGUCUAUGCUGAUGGCCAUGAAGCAGAGUUCAAGCAAACCUGUCAGAAAACAUCUCUAAGGGGCUAUGUAUGAACCAUAUGGCUAGUAAGUAAGACCUCAAACUUAAACUCUACUGUUCAAAAGGCUGUGAUUUAUUUAUUUGACAAAAAUACAGUGAAAACAGAAAUUUUGUGAAAUUAUCACAAAGUAGAUGAUCUGUUUUCUUUGAAAAUAUGCAAUUAAGUGUAAUUUCUGUGAUGCAAAACAAAAUCUUUACUCUCACUUCUAACAAACAGAAGUGCAACUUACCAUUUUAAGGUAACACUAAACAAUUUGUUAACACAACAAUCAACUUUGAUAAUAAUUGAAAAUAUUUCUUGAGCAGCAAAUCAGCGUAUUAGAAUGAACUCUGAUAGAUUAUGUGACACUGAAGACUGGAGUAAUGAUGCUGAAAAUUCAACAUUAAUCACAGGAAUAAUGCUGCCUUCACGUGCUAUGGGAAAGAUGAUAUUUUCCAUUUGUGAACUGGUAUUUACCAGCGUGUUGUGUUCAAGUGCAUUUUCCAUUUGUGAACUAGAAUUUACCAUUGCUUUUGUUGUCAUUCAACCAUUCACGACGUUGCUGCUGCUCUCCGCCAUUUUGAAAAGGUCAAAGGUAAUCUCAUCUCGGCAACUCGGGCAUCAAAAUAUUUUACGAGUUGCCCAGUGGAAAAUACCACAUGAGGGGUGUUCAUGUGCAUUUUCCAAAUGGGAUUUUGCUAUUUUCCAUAAUUACGAUAGCACGUGAAGGCAGCAUUAAUUACAACUUACAAUAUGUUCAUAUAAUAAAAGACGUAAAAAAAAUUGAACCUAAACCUUUAAAUGGCAUUGUAAAUUAUAGUUAUGAUGGCUUGUUCCUCCAACUUAAUGAUACUAUUGCAUA